GUGUUUUAAACUAAAAACUCUUAGAGACCAUCAAGUACUGGAAGAGAAUUUUCCUUAUCUAUGCAGAGACAGGACUGACCCGCUGAGGACAAGUGUUCUAGUUCCCCUGCCUCUUAUUCUCCAUUGCAAAAAGAAGACCAAAAAUGUAACCACAUCUGAACAGACCCCCCUUUGAAGAUAAGCACUGUUUCCAAGGACCAUGUAAAUUCCAAACAGAACUAUUCACCUGUUAAUUUCUGUUCCCUGGUCAUCAUACUGCCCCUCAAUAGAAUUCCUCUUCUCCCUACUCCCAUAACCUGUUUUCUGUAAUCUCAAGAUGAUGUAUAAGCUUCUGUACCUUGUAAAUUGAAAAAACUGAUUGAGGCAAGUCUCAAUCCUUUUAGAUUUGCCAGAGUUGCCCACUUUUGGCAAAGAUUUGCCAAAAUUGCUCUUGAUGUGCACCAGGAGACAGGUCUAUGUCUUUCUCCAAAGACGAUUUUGAGGGCUUCAAGGAGAAAGGGCAGAUAUUGAGGGAAUACACAAUUUUCAUGUGAGAGGGGGUAGAGGAAAUAGUCAUUCCUGCCUUCCUCUGGCUCAGUGAAUCUGCAGUUUUACAUACAGUAACAUAGACAGUAGGUCAGGGGAAGUAAUCAGAUAUGCAUUUGUCUCAGGUGAGUGGAGGGAUGACUUUGAGUUCUGUCUUAUGGUCCUCGCUUGGGCAGACAAAUUAUUAAUUUACAUUGCCAAGGUGAAAUUCAACAGAAAUGAUUUAAGGUAAAGAUCUUGGAGCCUACAAGGAAUUUCCUUAUGGGCAAAAUGUGAGGGAGGUAUGUAGCUUUUUAUCUUUGUAGCCAUCUUAUUUAGGAACCAAAUGGGAAGCAGGUUUGUGUCACCCAGUUCCCAGCUUGACUUUUCCUUUUGGCUUAGUGAGUUUGGGGUCUCGAGAUUUAUCUUCCUUUUACAGCCUAUUUGGGAAGUUGAGUCUUCAUUCUGAAGGCGUCUGUGUAUACACGUGAAAUAAAUUUGUAUGCCACUCUUCUAUUCAUCAAUCUGCCUCAGUAACUUUCAGCAAAACUUUAGGGGGCAAAGGGCCCUGGGCCCCACAGUUAUGGCACUGUGAGCAAGAUCAUCAAAAUUGUUCUUUUUUUUCAGGAAGCCACAGCAAAGGGAACCCAGGAAACUGACACCAUGGCAAAAGUGUAAGAAUUUCGUACCAGCCAGGCUCCUGGCCUGGUUCUCUGUGCAAUCCAGUUGAGCAAACAGUAAAAAUCACUAUCUGUCUCCUCUGCAAGGUUUGAUUAACGGCAAAAAAAGGAUCUGUGUGGCUAGUCUUGGGGUGUGAUGUCUCUGGUGUACUUUUGGUAUUUUGUGGUAUGAAUAUUCAUAUCGUUUGAUCCCUUUCCCCUCAGAAACAGCCUUUUUUUGUUGUUGCCAUUUUUCUUUGUCCUUGUCCUUCUGUGUUGUUCUGUUGUAAAGAGGGGCAUGGAGUAGAACAUGGACCUGGAAAGCCUAUAAGCCUGCAGUUUGAGCUGGCUCUGCAGAUCAGUCAGUUUUGUAGUUCUGACUAGACCUGUGUCUGUUAAGAUAAACUUUGCUAUGGGUCCCUGAAAUGAAAACCAGAUGAGAUUUUCCACUCUUCUUGUUUUAUGUCCUUGAGAUCUUGACUUGUAAUUAAGUGCAGAUACUUCUUCUUAAUCUCUGCUAUCUGGAGGGCAUGAUUUUUGGGGUUACACUGAGAGAGGAGAAAGGAAGAAGCUGGUCGGGGGGCAGCUAGGGUGGUUCCUCAGUUCAAGCAAAAGAACUGCCUGCAGACACAGAUAAAGAAACUUGCACAGGGGGGCUUGCCUAAGACAUGUCCACAGCUGCACAGAUAAGAAAGGCUACACAGGUGACUUGCCCAGACAUGCCCUGCAAUGGAAAAUUCCAUUCCCUGACACAUGUGCAGUAAGAGGAGCAAAGCAAUAUGGAGUAAUUUGAGCUAAGGGCCCACAUGCACACUAGAAGGAUGGGGUGGAGCUACCAGAAAUUCAUGCAUUAUGCAAAUGAGACACCCAGCCCUCCUUGGUUUCUUAUAAAAGCCUUUGUAUUCAACUGUAAAAAUGGCAGCCUUCUUCCAUGUCCCCUCUCUGUGGCAAAGAACUUACUUCUUUCACUUAUUAAACUUUCACUUCAACCUCACCUUUUGUGUCCAUGCUCCUUAAUUCUCUUGGUCCUGAGACAAUUAACUCUGAGUGAAACUUCGCAAAGAGAGACUGCUUUAUUGUGGUGCACUGGCAAGACUGUAACAACAUCAGGUGGCCAGUCUGAAAAGAUUGGGAAUCUGAGAGCUCCAUUUUCUACUGCUUGUCAUCUGAGGCAUACCAGUGACCCAGACCUGUGGGAGACAGCUGAGAACAUCGUCACAGGGAAGUAACCAGCCAGGCAUGGUGGCAUGUGCCUGUGGUCCCAGCUACUCUGGAGGCCGAGACAGGAGGAUGACAUGAGCCCAGAAGUUCGAAUCCAGCCUGGGAAACAUCUCCAGACCUCAUCUCCAACUCUAAGAAAAAGAAAAGAAAAAUGAAGAAUCAUUGCUUGCAUCCCAAAUAAAAUAU